UCUACAGAUAUUUGUUUGGCUCUUCCCCCCCUGAAUCUACUGACCAAUUGCGAGAAAGAAUGCAAAGGUCACAUAGGGCACUUUAGGACUGACCACCAUCCUGAUCCCUCACUCCUUUCUUUAGUUGGGAGAAUGUGAGGACAUGUGAGGUGAAUAUGCUCUGGGCAAGAGUUAAAAGGUAGAGGCCUGGUGGGCUCAUUAAGCUAACACCCUGGCAUGGUCAUGGCUGGCAGGGUGGUAAGAAGAGUGCUGGGGCAGGGCCCAUAUGUCUGUUUCACAUUAACUGUGAGCUCUGGACUACCAUCUGGUUUCAUCCCAGGAUGGUAGUCUUUGCAGACACUGUUAUGUGCCGCCAGAAAGUGAAAAUAGCAGGAAGGGCUCUGUUGCUUCUUAGCCUUACUGCUAUUUGCUGACAACUCCAGGAGACUUGUCCUCCCUCCGUCUGGAUGAAGGGCAAUUACCCAUACAGCUGACAGAGGGGUAGAGCUGGCUUAAGUAAGUGCAGGGUAGAGGAGUCUCCACAAGCUGGGCCUGGAGAUGUCUGAGGAGGCUUUUUCCCAGAUGCUGCCCUAGAGACACUCAGGGCUCCUGCCAGGGCUUUCCUUCAGUAUCUCACAGGACCUACACCCCAAAGUCCAAGCCUCCUGCCCUCCUUUACCCUACCAUCCAGCUUAUCCUUGGUCAGAUGCAAAAUCAGUUUUUAUAUCUUUUAGAAAUAUGUGAGAAAAUACCUUGCACUUUAUUUUCACUUCAUGUUAUGGAUACCAGGUUUUUCAUGUGACUGGGGAUCAUAUUGAGUUAACUAACCAUACGUCAUCCCACCCAAUUGGAAUGUGUAAGCCCAGAUUCUGGAUGACAUACAGGUGGGGACCUUUAGAGCAUUCACUUGUGGGAACCUGAAAGAGCACCUGAAGCCUUCCAGAAAGGCAACCCCUUCUACAUUACCUACUUCCUGUGCGCCUACCUAAAGUUUCUCACCUCCCAACAAACCCUGGGCCUUCUGUUCCAAAGGAACCUAUUCAACUGUCCCAUGGGAUGGGACACUUGGCGUCUGCACAGGGACUUGGGUAUGAGGGAUCCAGUGAAGAGCUCCUGAGGAAGGCUCCUGUGCAGAGCAAGCAAGAAAAGCAGAGGAAAACAGAAGGGGACGGCAGAGAUUCAUCCUGAGAAAGACCAUGGCAGAAAACAGAAGGGGACAGCAGAGACUCAUCCUGAGAAAGGCCAGCGAAAGACAUAGAAGGACGAAGAGAAGAUGUCCUGAUCCACAAAAUGAAGAUCCUUCUUAAAUACCUGAUCCUGUUUUGCUUCUUCGACACUUCGGCUGCUGGUUUUGAUCCUGGUGCUGCUCCCCCUGGCGGAACAGGGAACUCUCUGUCUUGCUUUACAGGAACGCUGCUGCUUUUAUACCAACAAGUCUGGCACCAUUUGUGAUAGUCCCUUAUGGUCUACAUGGAAUAGACUCUUCCCCUUUUCCCUCCCCAUACUUGGUCCGAUUCUGGGUUUACUGAUUGUUUACUCUUUGGGGCCUGUCCUUUUCAAUAAGCUCAUGGCUUUCCUUAAAUGCUAAAUUGAUGACUCCAUAAAAAUGCAGCCUAUCCAAGUCCACUACCACAACCUGGAGAUGGAGUAUCAUGGAGCCUAGACAUUGCUUUUGCCUGAGGCGCUGAAUCGGUUAGCCAAGACAAGUAAGAGAGUCUGAGCCUAACAGUUGUACAGUCCUCACACCUAAGACAGGAAACCCAUCAUUGCAAUGGGAUUCUCCAAUGAUGGGUAAGGAUGGACGUGUGACUCUAAAAACAACUCCAACCUAAGAUAGGCACGCUUCCCCCAGGUUUUUCUCCUCUCUUUGAAA